AUGGGCGAAAGCCUGAUGCAGCAACGCCGCGUGAGCGAUGAAGGCCUUUGGGUCGUAAAGCUCUGUCCUUGGGGAAGAAUAAAUGACGGUACCCUUGGAGGAAGCCCCGGCUAACUACGUGCCAGCAGCCGCGGUAAUACGUAGGGGGCAAGCGUUAUCCGGAAUUAUUGGGCGUAAAGAGUGCGUAGGUGGUUUUGUGAGCGCGGGGUGAAAGGCAAUGGCUCAACCAUUGUAAGCCUUGCGAACUGUAAGACUUGAGUGCAGGAGAGGAAAGUGGAAUUCCUAGUGUAGCGGUGAAAUGCGUAGAUAUUAGGAGGAACACCAGUGGCGAAGGCGACUUUCUGGACUGUAACUGACACUGAGGCACGAAAGCGUGGGGAGCAAACAGGAUUAGAUACCCUGGUAGUCCACGCCGUAAACGAUGAGCACUAGGUGUCGGGGCCGCAAGGUUUCGGUGCCGCAGUUAACGCAUUAAGUGCUCCGCCUGGGGAGUACG
rnacentral:rRNA from 1 species